AGAGCCAUAGCUCAGUGGUAGAGUGUGUGCUCAGCACAUGCGAGGUCCUGGGUUCAAUCCCCAGCACCUCCA
rnacentral:tRNA from 1 species